ACUUUUAAAGGAUAAC
rnacentral:tRNA from 2 species